rnacentral:tRNA from 2 species
GCCGGGGUGGCGGAACUGGCAGACGCGCAGGAUUUAGGAUCCUGUGAGGGUUACACCUCGUGGAGGUUCGAGUCCUCUCCCCGGCA